AUUUUUUAAAGUCUGACAAUAAGCUAGGACAAUCGAUUGAGCUGGUCAAAAUUGCUUGCAGUAAUAGCAUAUCACACUGUUCUCUUCUUUGUUCUAGCGAGUCGAUACCAUAAUGAGUACACGCUUCCUCAUAACUAUUAAAAUUUUCAAAGUCUGUAAAAGCGAAGU